rnacentral:rRNA from 1 species
UGUUCGCCUAUUUAGGUGAGUGGCCAAGCGAAAGCGUUAAGCAUCCCACCUGGGGAGUACGCCGGCAACGGUGAAACUCAAAGGAAUUGACGGGGGCCCGCACAAGCGGAGGAACAUGUGGUUUAAUUCGAUGAUACGCGAGGAACCUUACCCGGGCUUGAACUGCAGGAGAACGAUACAGAGAUGUUGAGGUCCUUCGGGACUCCUGCGGAGGUGCUGCAUGGUUGUCGUCAGCUCGUGCCGUGAGGUGUCGGCUUAAGUGCCAUAACGAGCGCAACCCUUGUCCUCAGUUGCCAUCAGUUCGGCUGGGCACUCUGUGGAUACUGCCACCGCAAGGUGUGAGGAAGGUGGGGAUGACGUCAAAUCAGCACGGCCCUUACGUCCGGGGCUACACACGUGUUACAAUGGCGCAUACAGAGAGUCGGCCGCCGGCAACGUCGGUCCAAUCCUUAAAAUGCGUCCUAGUUCGGAUUGGGGUCUGCAACCCGACCCCAUGAAGCUGGAUUCGCUAG